GACGAACCGUGCGAACGUUAUUCGGAAUCAUUGGGCUUAAAGCGCGUGUAGGCGGAUUCGUGCGUCUGUCGUUGAAAUCCCCCGGCUCAACCGGGGAAGUGGCGCGGAUACGACGAGUCUGGAGGGGCAUAGGGGGACCUGGAACUUCCGGUGGAGCGGUGAAAUGCGUUGAGAUCGGAAGGAACGCCCGUGGCGAAAGCGAGGUCCUGGAUGCCUACUGACGCUGAGGCGCGAAAGCUAGGGGAGCAAACGGG
rnacentral:rRNA from 1 species